GUUCGAUCUCAAAUUCAGGUA
rnacentral:rRNA from 1 species